rnacentral:rRNA from 1 species
GAAGAAGUAUUUCGGUAUGUAAAGCUCUAUCAGCAGGGAAGAAAAUGACGGUACUUGAAUAAGAAGCCCCGGCUAACUACGUGCCAGCAGCCGCGGUAAUACGUAGGGGGCAAGCGUUAUCCGGAUUUACUGGGUGUAAAGGGAGCGUAGACGGCGCUGCAAGUCUGAAGUGAAAGCCCGGGGCUCAACCCCGGGACUGCUUUGGAAACUGUAAUGCUAGAGUGCUGGAGAGGUAAGUGGAAUUCCUAGUGUAGCGGUGAAAUGCGUAGAUAUUAGGAGGAACACCAGUGGCGAAGGCGGCUUACUGGACAGUAACUGACGUUGAGGCUCGAAAGCGUGGGGAGCAAAACAGGAUUAGAUACCCUGGUAGUCCACGCGGUAAACGAUGAAUGGUUAGGUGUUGGGGAGCAAAGCUCUUCGGUGCCCGUCGCAAACGCAAUAAGCAUUCCACCUGGGGAGUACGUUCGCAAGAAUGAAACUCAAAGGAAUUGACGGGGACCCGCACAAGCGGUGGAGCAUGUGGUUUAAUUCGAAGCAACGCGAAGAACCUUACCAAGUCUUGACAUCCUUCUGACCGGCGCGUAACGGCGCCUUCUCUUCGGAGCAGGAGUGACAGGUGGUGCAUGGUUGUCGUCAGCUCGUGUCGUGAGAUGUUGGGUUAAGUCCCGCAACGAGCGCAACCCUUAUCCUUAGUAGCCAGCAGUAAGAUGGGCACUCUAGGGAGACUGCCAGGGAUAACCUGGAGGAAGGUGGGGAUGACGUCAAAUCAUCAUGCCCCUUAUGAUUUGGGCUACACACGUGCUACAAUGGCGUAAACAAAGGGAAGCGAAGCCGCGAGGUGAAGCAAAUCCCAAAAAUAACGUCCCAGUUCGGAUUGUAGGCUGCAACUCGCCUGCAUGAAGCUGGAAUCGCUAGUAAUCGCGAAUCAGAAUGUCGCGGUGAAUACGUUCCCGGGUCUUGCACACACCCCCCGUC